AUUGGAUUUGGCGGCAAAAUAACCUUUUAGAGGAACCUGCCCUAUAAAUGAUGGACCACAAAAUACCUUACUUUUUUUAGUAAUCAGUUUACAUACCGCUGUUGACAGUAAGUUUCUUUAGAAAACUUUCCAAAAUAAGAUAUUUAAUGACUUCAAGUAAAGGUGUAGCUUAUAAGGAAGAAAGAGGUGGGUUACAAUUAAUUAUAAUAAUAAUGAAUUUGUUAAUGAAAAAUAUUCUGAAGGAGGAUUUAAAAGUAAAAUUUUUUAAUGAAAGUUUGAUAUGAGCAAUGUUUUGUGUACAAACCGCCCGUC
rnacentral:rRNA from 1 species